rnacentral:lncRNA from 1 species
GUUUACCCGGCUAAGGCAUGACACUGCUUCCCUUUCAGAUUCCGGUGCAGUCCUCUGACCAUAUUGGGAAGGAUAUGUAAAAUGAUACGAGUUUCAGGGAAUAAGAAUGGGGGUGAGAGGAAUCACUGAGGACGCCCAAGGACAAAGCAGCCGGAACAAGACAGAGUUUCUCUUGUUGCUCAGGCUGGAGUGCAAUGGCGUGAUCUUAGCUCAUUGCAACCUCUGCCUCCCAGGUUCAAACAAUUCUCCUGCCUCAGUCUCCUGAGUAGCUGGAAUUACAGUUUAUAGCUCAGCAGUUCCAAGAUGGCCGAAUAGGAACAGCUCCAGUCUACAGCUCCCAGCGUGAGUGAUGCAGAAGACGGGUGAUUUCUGCAUUUCCAACCAAGGCACCGGGUUUAUCUCACUGGGGCUUGUCAGACAGUGGGUGCAAUCCAUGAAGUGUGAGCCAAAGCAGGGCGGGGCAUCACCUCACCCAGGAAGUGCAAGAGGUCGGGGAAUUCCCUUUCCUAGCUGAGGGAAGCCAUGACAGAUGGUACCUGGAAAAUCGGGACACUCCCAUCCUGAUACUGCACUUUUCCAACGGUCUUAGCAAAUGGCACACCAGGAGAUUAUAUCCCACGCUUGGCUCGGAGGGUCCCACACCCACGGAGCCUCGCUCACUGCUAGCACAGCAGUCUGAGACUGAACUGCAAGGCGGCAGUGAGGCUGGGGGAGGGGCGUCCACCAUUGAUGACAUUUGAGUAGGUAAACAAAACACUCCAGCCUGGGUGACGGACUGAGACUCUGUCUC